UUCUAAUUAAGGUAGUCAAGUUCAAGGAGAAGAGUCAAGGGGAGAAGAGACAGCAAGGGCUGGGGUGACAGAGAAAGAGACAUUCGUAUGGAUGGCUGCCUGGAGACAGCGCUGAGAAAGGGGGUAAGAGCUGCUAGUGAGGGUUGAAUAUAUCCUCCCUGGCCCAGGAGUAUCAGGAGAGACAUUGUUAGAGGUACAUGAAGAGACAGCUGCACCUCUAUCCCCACAUCAUAGACUGUCAG